AAACUGACCUUUUGGCUUAGAUCUUGUGUAGUAUCUGUUCUUGUCAGUAUGGUAUCUGGUACAUUCUGUAUCUCUCUCUAUCUGGGAACAAUAUAUUGGGUGGAUUUUUGGAAUGGGGGGGGGGAGGUUACUCUGUACUCUUCAGUUAUUUAAGGAAAACUGGCAUAUUUACCUACAAACUUUGCGACC